UUUUCACUCUCCUAGGAUGACCCAGGUAUAGAAUCUGCCCCUAUGGUUCGGCUCCACCCUCUCACCUGUCUCUUGAGAGCAUUGUGAAAUUCUGAGACACAGCAAGGACAGAAACAGAGGGCAUGGAAGAUGCUUUCAGGAGUAUGAUGGUACUUCCAGUACCCCAGUGACACCUAGCCUGAGAAAGAAGCAGAGAUAAAGUCUAUAGAGGAAGAGAGCAUCUGAAUGACGUUUGAGUCCCUGGAUGAUCAGAUCCAGAGCCUGACAAGUUU
rnacentral:lncRNA from 1 species